rnacentral:rRNA from 1 species
CCCUUAGACGUUCUGGGCCGCACGCGCGCUACACUGACCAGUGCAACAAGCAUCCGUCCUUGGCCGACAGGCUCGGGCAAUCUUUGAACGCUGGUCGUGAUGGGGAUAGACUUUUGCAAUUUUUGGUCUUCAACGAGGAAUUCCUAGUAAACGCAAGUCAUCAACUUGCAUUGAUUACGUCCCUGCCCUUUGUACACACCGCCCGUCGCACCUACCGAUUGAAUGGUCCGGUGAAAUCUCGGGACGGCGGCUUGGUCGCUUGCGUCCGACUGCUGAAACUUGAUUAAACCAUAUCAUUUAGAGGAAGGUGAAGUCGUANCA